ACAAAUAGCCAUGCCACUCUGAACACGCACAUCUGAUCUCGGAAGUGAAGCAGGGUCAGGCCCGCUUAGUACUUGGAUGGGAGACCACCUAGGAAGACUGGGUGCUGUAGGCA
rnacentral:rRNA from 1 species